rnacentral:rRNA from 1 species
GACGAAGGAUGCAAGCGUUAUCCGGAUUCAUUGGGUUUAAAGGGUGCGUAGGCGGCCUUGUAAGUCAGUGGUGAAAUCUUCUCGCUUAACGAGAAAACUGCCAUUGAUACUGCUAGGCUUGAGUACAGAUGCUGUGGGCGGAAUAUGACAUGUAGUGGUGAAAUACAUAGAGAUGUCAUAGAACACCGAUUGCGAAGGCAGCUCACAAAACUGUAACUGACGCUGAGGCACGAAAGUGCGGGGAUCAAACAGGAUUAGAUACCCUGUAGUCC